rnacentral:ncRNA from 1 species
AAUCGGUUCACGGCAAUGUGAUACGUGUAUCAUGCAGCCGGACCGAAGGGGAUGAGCCACGGCAAAAGCACAUGAAGUGGAAAGCCGAAACAUCAAGUGGCGGGUAGAGAUUGGUAGGCGGCAACGCUCGAAGAUCUUAGGCCCG